CCUACGGGAGGCAGCAGUGAGGAAUAUUGGUCAAUGGACGAGAGUCUGAACCAGCCAAGUAGCGUGAAGGAUGACUGCCCUAUGGGUUGUAAACUUCUUUUAUAAAGGAAUAAAACGAGGCACGUGUGCCUUUUUGCAUGUACUUUAUGAAUAAGGAUCGGCUAACUCCGUGCCAGCAGCCGCGGUAAUACGGAGGAUCCGAGCGUUAUCCGGAUGUAUUGGGUUUAAAGGGAGCGUAGGUGGAUUGUUAAGUCAGUUGUGAAAGUUUGCGGCUCAACCGUAAAAUUGCAGUUGAAACUGGCAGUCUUGAGUACAGUAGAGGUGGGCGGAAUUCGUGGUGUAGCGGUGAAAUGCUUAGAUAUCACGAAGAACUCCGAUUGCGAAGGCAGUUCACUGGACUGCAACUGACACUGAGGCUCGAAAGUGUGGGUAUCAAACAGGAUUAGAUACCCUUGUAGUC
rnacentral:rRNA from 1 species